AGUUAAUGAGCUUGAAUAAGCAUGUGUUUUGAAAACAUAAGAUAGAAAAUCAAUUUUCUAUUAACUU
rnacentral:tRNA from 1 species